UUUAGAGCUUUCUCUCUUCUCUAUUAGAUUCAUACAAUAGUUGUUAUAUACCAUUAGGGUUCUUGAAUAAUAAGGAGUUCAAGAUUAUGUAGGUAUAAAUUAAUAAAAUGAAGGAGGACAACCAUUACCUUGAAGAAUCCAUGUCUUAGCAAGUGGUAUUUUCUGUCUAGCAAGGGAGGAUGUUCUGGUGAUUAGUGCAUUUUGGGACAGCCAUGGAAGGAUUCCUAUUUAAAUUCAUAUAUGAGCUUGUAAUGCUGAAUAUUGCUCUUUAUUCCAAUGUACCGAGCAUUAGAGGGAACGAUCAAAUGGUGGAAAAAUGGAGCAGUCAGCGCCUCUCUUAGAAGUUCCGCGAAGCAUUACCUUAUAGACCAUUGAUAAAAAACAUGAAGAUGCUUGGAUUAAGCGGAAGACGGUUAUGAAAUUACCAAAGGGAGAAUUGCCGAUUCAUUCGGGGAUUCUGACUUACUACGCCGAAUUAUCCGUUGCAGCACAAAUAUGUGAAAACUAUUAAUACAUGUUAAGUGUUUUAGAUAGAGUAGAGAACCAUCAUUAUUAUUUUUUACUAAAUAAGUACUUUUUAUAUUCUUACGUUGAGUUUGAGAGGGUUUUGAAAACUUAAAGAUAAAAAGGGUUUCAUCUUCA